rnacentral:rRNA from 1 species
CCUACGGGUGGCAGCAGUGGGGAAUAUUGGACAAUGGGCGAAAGCCUGAUCCAGCCAUGCCGCGUGUGUGAAGAAGGCCUUCGGGUUGUAAAGCACUUUCAGUGGGGAAGAAAGCCUUGGGGCUAAUACCCUCGAGGAAGGACAUCACCCACAGAAGAAGCACCGGCUAACUCCGUGCCAGCAGCCGCGGUAAUACGGAGGGUGCGAGCGUUAAUCGGUAUUACUGGGCGUAAAGCGCGCGUAGGCGGUCUGAUAAGCCGGUUGUGAAAGCCCCGGGCUCAACCUGGGAACGGCAUCCGGAACUGUCAGGCUAGAGUGCAGGAGAGGAAGGUAGAAUUCCCGGUGUAGCGGUGAAAUGCGUAGAGAUCGGGAGGAAUACCAGUGGCGAAGGCGGCCUUCUGGACUGACACUGACGCUGAGGUGCGAAAGCGUGGGUAGCAAACAGGAUUGGAUACCCCUGUAGUC